CCUCUGCUUCUUGUCUUUGCUGUCUAACCGUCCAGCCGUCUGUCAGGUGCGCACAGUGUUUGCGUGUCGCGCUCUGGCGUGCAGAUGUCCGCCUGUUGUCGUCCUGCCAGCCGGCGGGUCUUUUGGAGAGCAAAGUGGAGGGGAGGACAGCCCGGGGAUUCGCGAGGCCACGAGGCGGGCUCUGCUGGGAGUAUGACGGAGGCUUGCAAAAGAGUCCAUCUCCGACUGUUGCGAACCCGAUCGGGAUGAUGUCAUGCACAACUGCUGCCCGGCUGACAGACAGUUUCCGCACCACAACAUGGGGCCCUAUGGUCUGCCUGUCAGGCCGACUGACGGCUGAAUGACACCAAUGAGAGCCAGCCGUCCCUCCGCCUUGGAGCGAGGCACUGAGUGACAGCCAGUGAGCAGCCAGAAAGACCGUCCCUCAACCCGAUGACGGCUGCAGCUGAGCGAGCACGUCUGCUUGUCACUUUGGGAAAGUUUCAAGCCCUGCCGGACGCAACUUCCCCUAAACUCAGUACUUCUUGGAAGCGGACCCAAAAGAUCCGCAGGGGUGUGUUUUUAAGAACUGCGCCAGACUGAAGCGGAUCCUGGUUUGAUCGUUGUUUUUCCGGUCAACGUGGUGUUUAUUAGAAACCAGCGGCGGCGUCCAAUUGCUCAUGUUUUUAUUUCCCCCCGGUGGUUUCCUGGGUGAUGACAUCAGCGCUCGGUGGAAGUGCGAGAGGCCGCGGCACACACAACUUGGAGGACGGUAAAGUGUAAAGCCGGUCUAUUUCUGCCACGUCCGUCAGCGAGCCGUCAGUUUGUCAGCACAAAACAAACAGGCACGGAUGAUAGAUCCUAUUUAAGACAGGAUCCCACAGUGGAAAGGCGCAAGAAUGGGACUUUUCCUUUCCUCGGAUGGACAGAUUAGAGAUUGGCAUGGAGGACCGGCUGCACCAUAUCAGACAGGCACUUCCUCGGACAGUUUCCUUCCGUCCCGGUUUCUGAUUAGAGGGCCCAGAAGGGACACCUGGGGCAGGCACAAACAACACACACAACGGCGCUGAUCGGUCCCCACAUAGUCAGAAACGUGUCCUGGGCCUUCAGUCAAGGUGGGGAACCUCUGUCACGGCUUGAAGGGCAGAUUGUCGGAUGUCGGUGUUGAAGACAAACACAUGUUCCUGACACGACGCAGGACGGGAAUUCCACAAGCCUGGAGGUUCUCAGGCCGAAGAACAUCACAGAACUGAUCUCAGAAUCCCACCUGGACUUGCUUUUCACUGGCAACCUAGCAACCGUAGUGUUUACUUACUCAGCUAUAGCAUUGUUGUUCCAAACUUUAUUCACGUUUUCCCUUUUCUUAAUUAAUGCACACCUCUCACGAAUAGAUCCCGACAACCAUCUGGUUCAUCAUCCCUACGAGUAACGGCCCUCAACACACGCAAAUGUUUCUAUCGGAGGUGCCAGGAGCCAGUUAUGUCAAAAUGGCUGACAGUCGGAUGAGGGUAGACCAGGGGUCGGCAACCCAAAAUGUCAAAAGAACCAUAUUGGACCAAAAAUACCACAAAAAAAAUUUGUCUGGAGCCGCAAAAAAUUAAAAGCCUUACAUACUAUGUAGACAACACAUGAUGUGUCUAUAUUAGCUAUAUUAGCCUACUAUUACAAUUACUUUAAAGUGUUAUACAAGUGUUAUAAUGAAGACAACACAUGUUGUAAGUGUCUAUAGUAGUUAUGUUAGCCUACUAUCAAAAUGACCUUAAAAGUCGUAUAUAAAUAAAUGAUAAAUGGGU